AACAGAUCGUUCGGACUCUCAGGCAUUAUUUUGUUCCCUUCCUCGCUUCAUGUUUCCAGGCUACCUCAGUGUUGAAACAAAUCGAUUUAUUUAAUACCUGAGGUGUUCAACUGACUUGAUAAUGGAUGGGGUGCCAGACCAGGUGAUGGAGUGCGCAAGGGAAAAAAUGCAGUCCUUGGGUAGAAUUGUGAAACCCUUUUUGGAUGUAGAGCCAGUGACUCCUGAACAAGCAAGAGUAAAUCAUAUGAAGUUAAGUGCGUGAUGCUGGAGAGAAGAAACAAGAUAAGACGUGGAAUGCUCGAAAAUACCGAUGCAGGAUCAUUACAGUCGAUAGCAUUUCCAGCACGCCCAAUUUGUGAACCAGAACAGGCCAGGAUGAAUUUCCAGAGGCUUAAAAGUGCAAUAAUGGAAAAGAGUUGCACAACAGAUUUAAGUCCAGGAAUGUAUAGUUUUUUUUUAAGUCGUAACUGAUGAUUAUAUGUAUAAUUUAUGUUGUUUAGUUCUUUUUACUUGAUGGGAUUGUAUCGGUUGUUGGCUAUUAGUGAGUUGACAACUAAUCUGUGCAAUUUAAAUUUAUUGUUUGGUACUCAAGAGGUUCUUAAGAGAAAAAGGACAUUAGAGGAGACUGGUGUCGGGUGCGACGUAUUCCAGCAUUUACAUGUUAGUUAAUAUUUAUUAAGACUGUACAGUUUUUG